rnacentral:rRNA from 1 species
ACGGGUGAGUAAUGUCUGGGAAACUGCCUGAUGGAGGGGGAUAACUACUGGAAACGGUAGCUAAUACCGCAUAACGUCGCAAGACCAAAGAGGGGGACCUUCGGGCCUCUUGCCAUCAGAUGUGCCCAGAUGGGAUUAGCUAGUAGGUGGGGUAAUGGCUCACCUAGGCGACGAUCCCUAGCUGGUCUGAGAGGAUGACCAGCCACACUGGAACUGAGACACGGUCCAGACUCCUACGGGAGGCAGCAGUGGGGAAUAUUGCACAAUGGGCGCAAGCCUGAUGCAGCCAUGCCGCGUGUGUGAAGAAGGCCUUCGGGUUGUAAAGCACUUUCAGCGAGGAGGAAGGUGGUGAGCUUAAUACGCUCAUCAAUUGACGUUACUCGCAGAAGAAGCACCGGCUAACUCCGUGCCAGCAGCCGCGGUAAUACGGAGGGUGCAAGCGUUAAUCGGAAUUACUGGGCGUAAAGCGCACGCAGGCGGUUUGUUAAGUCAGAUGUGAAAUCCCCGGGCUCAACCUGGGAACUGCAUUUGAAACUGGCAAGCUAGAGUCUCGUAGAGGGGGGUAGAAUUCCAGGUGU